rnacentral:rRNA from 1 species
CCUACGGGAGGCAGCAGUGAGGAAUAUUGGUCAAUGGCCGGAAGGCUGAACCAGCCAUGCCGCGUGAAGGUCAGUGCCCUAUGGGCGUUAAACUUCUUUUGUGCGGGAGCAAUAAUGGUCACGUGUGGCCAGACGAGAGUACCGUACGAAUAAGCAUCGGCUAACACCGUGCCAGCAGCCGCGGUAAUACGGGGGGUGCAAGCGUUAUCCGGAUUUAAUGGGUUUAAAGGGGUCGUGGGCUGUGAUGUAAGUCAGCGGUGAAAUGCCCCCGCUCAACGGGGUGAAGUGCCAUUGAUACUGCCUUGCUGGAAUGCGAAUGCCGUGGGAGGAAUGUGUGGUGUAGCGGUGAAAUGCAUAGAUAUCGCACAGAACACCGAUUGCGAAGGCAGCUCACGAGUCCGCGAUUGACGCUGAUGCACGAAAGCGUGGGUAUCAAACAGGAUUAGAUACCCUUGUAGUC